AACAAAUUAAACAUUUAAAACAAAGACAAAAGUGAAAAAUCUAGAGAUCUCUUCACAAUUUAUCAGCAAAAACGCCAUAGGAGGUCUGGAAUAAGCUGGUUUUUCAUAUUUUUGAAUCAUAUCGAGAACCUGAAACAAGUCGAGGAAAAGAAAAAGUAGCCGAUUAGUCCCUGAACUUUUACAAAUUCUGCAAAUCGAUCCAGAUUAACGUAUUUAUACAUUCGGAGGAUCGGAUCUACAUCAAGAAUCACACUACCCAGAUAUACUCCG